rnacentral:tRNA from 1 species
GGUCCUGUGUCUCAGUUGCUAGAGCACGGCAUUUCCAAUCCCAGGAUCGUGGGUUUGAUUCCCGCUGGGGCCA